rnacentral:rRNA from 1 species
GACGAACCGUGCGAACGUUGUUCGGAAUCACUGGGCUUAAAGGGCGCGUAGGCGGGCUGCCAAGCCUGUGGUGAAAUCCUCCGGCUCAACCGGAGAACGGCCGUGGAUACUGGCGGUCUCGAGGGAGGUAGGGGCAUGCGGAACUGUGCGUGGAGCGGUGAAAUGCGUUGAUAUGCACAGGAACUCCGGUGGCGAAGGCGGCAUGCUGGACCUCUUCUGACGCUGAGGCGCGAAAGCUAGGGGAGCGAACGGG